GCUCAUGUUGGUUCGUGCCAGGCUCACGAUUGUCAGUAUCAGGCCUGACUUUUACAUAUCACAGAUGCAUAGAUCAAUACUCAAUCACUGGAUCCAUACCAUGCCCAUGUCGGUCAGCACUGUCCUUAUGAACAUCAGUAUCUGCCCAUGUUCCCAUGUCAGUCAACACUGUCCUUAUGAACAUCAGAAUCUGUCCAUGUUC